GACAGAGGGUGCAACCGUUGUUCGGAAUUACUGGGCGUAAAGCGUGUGUAGGCGGUCCACUAAGUCGGGUGUGAAAGCCCUGGGCUCAACCCAGGAAGUGCACUCGAAACUGGCGGGCUAGAGUAUCGGAGAGGUUGGUGGAAUUCUCGGUGUAGAGGUGAAAUUCGUAGAUAUCGAGAGGAACACCGGUGGCGAAGGCGGCUCUCUGGGACGGUACUGACGCUGAGACGCGAAAGCGUGGGGAGCGAACAGG
rnacentral:rRNA from 1 species